AGAGUUUGAUCCUGGCUCAGAUUGAACGCUGGCGGAAUGCUUUACACAUGCAAGUCGAACGGCAGCAUAGGUGCUUGCACCUGAUGGCGAGUGGCGAACGGGUGAGUAAUACAUCGGAACGUGCCCAGUCGUGGGGGAUAACGUAGCGAAAGUUACGCUAAUACCGCAUACGAUCUACGGAUGAAAGCGGGGGACCGUAAGGCCUCGCGCGAUUAGAGCGGCCGAUGCCUGAUUAGCUAGUUGGUGGGGUAAAAGCCCACCAAGGCGACGAUCAGUAGCUGGUCUGAGAGGACGAUCAGCCACACUGGGACUGAGACACGGCCCAGACUCCUACGGGAGGCAGCAGUGGGGAAUUUUGGACAAUGGGCGCAAGCCUGAUCCAGCCAUUCCGCGUGCAGGACGAAGGCCUUCGGGUUGUAAACUGCUUUUGUACAGAACGAAAAGCCUUGGGUUAAUACCCUGGGGUCAUGACGGUACUGUAAGAAUAAGCACCGGCUAACUACGUGCCAGCAGCCGCGGUAAU
rnacentral:rRNA from 1 species